rnacentral:tRNA from 1 species
GGGGUUUUAUUUUAAUUAAAAAUUUAUAUUUUGCAGAUAUAAGAUUAUAACUCUA